GCCCCUAUGGUGUAACCAGGAUAGCACAAAAGCUUGCGGAGCUUUUGGUCCGGGUUCAAAUCCCGGUAGGGGCA
rnacentral:tRNA from 1 species